rnacentral:rRNA from 1 species
AUUGAACGCUGGCGGCAUGCUUUACACAUGCAAGUCGAACGGCAGCGCGGGGGCAACCCUGGCGGCGAGUGGCGAACGGGUGAGUAAUACAUCGGAACGUACCCAGAAGUGGGGGAUAACGUAGCGAAAGUUACGCUAAUACCGCAUACGUUCUACGGAAGAAAGUGGGGGAUCGCAAGACCUCAUGCUUUUGGAGCGGCCGAUGUCUGAUUAGCUAGUUGGUGAGGUAAAGGCUCACCAAGGCGACGAUCAGUAGCUGGUCUGAGAGGACGACCAGCCACACUGGAACUGAGACACGGUCCAGACUCCUACGGGAGGCAGCAGUAGGGAAUAUUGGACAAUGGGGGCAACCCUGAUCCAGCCAUGCCGCGUGAGUGAAGAAGGCCCUCGGGUUGUAAAGCUCUUUUGUCCGGAAAGAAAAGCAAUCGGUUAAUACCCGGUUGUUCUGACGGUACCGGAAGAAUAAGCACCGGCUAACUUCGUGCCAGCAGCCGCGGUAAAGUAGA